rnacentral:snRNA from 1 species
GUGCUCACUUCGGCAGCACAUGUACUAAAAUUGGAACGAUAAAUAGAAGAUUAGCAUGGCCCCUGUGUAAGGAUGACACACAAAACAGACAUGAAGACCAGUGGAAC